UACAGAGGUCCCAAGCGUUGUUCGGAUUCAUUGGGCGUAAAGGGUGUGUAGGUGGCGCCGUAAGUCGGGUGUGAAAUCUCGGGGCUUAACUCCGAAACUGCAUUCGAUACUGCGGUGCUUGAGGACUGGAGAGGAGACUGGAAUUCAUGGUGUAGCAGUGAAAUGCGUAGAGAUCAUGAGGAACACCGGUGGCGAAGGCGGGUCUCUGGGCAGUAACUGACGCUGAGAAGCGAAAGCGUGGGGAGCGAACAGG
rnacentral:rRNA from 1 species